GACGAACGCUGGCGGCGUGCUUAACACAUGCAAGUCGAACGGAAAGGCCCUGCUUGCAGGGUGCUCGAGUGGCGAACGGGUGAGUAACACGUGGGUGAUCUGCCCCUUACUUUGGGAUAAGCCUGGGAAACUGGGUCUAAUACUGGAUAGGACCAUGCUGUAGGUGGUGUGGUGGAAAGAUUAGUUUCGGUAAGGGAUGAGCUCGCGGCCUAUCAGCUUGUUGGUGGGGUAAUGGCCUACCAAGGCGUCGACGGGUAGCCGGCCUGAGAGGGUGGAAGGCCACAUUGGGACUGAGAUGCGGGGCAGCAUCCGGCGGGAGGCAGCAGUGGGGGAUAUUGCACAAUGGGCGCAAGGCUGAUGCAGCGACGCCGCGUGGGGGAUGAAGGCCUUCGGGUUGUAAACACCUUUCAGCCAUGACGAAGCCCUUGUGGUGACGGUAGUGGUAGAAGAAGCACCGGCUAACUACGUG
rnacentral:rRNA from 1 species